rnacentral:rRNA from 1 species
UAGGGAAUAUUGGACAAUGGGCGCAAGCCUGAUCCAGCCAUGCCGCGUGAGUGAAGAAGGCCCUCGGGUUGUAAAGCUCUUUUGUCCGGAAAGAAAAGCAUCGGGUUAAUACCCCGGUGUUCUGACGGUACCGGAAGAAUAAGCACCGGCUAACUUCGUGCCAGCAGCCGCGGUAAUACGAAGGGUGCAAGCGUUACUCGGAAUUACUGGGCGUAAAGCGUGCGUAGGUGGUUCGUUAAGUCUGAUGUGAAAGCCCUGGGCUCAACCUGGGAAUGGCAUUGGAAACUGGCGGACUGGAGUGCGGUAGAGGGUAGCGGAAUUCCCGGUGUAGCAGUGAAAUGCGUAGAGAUCGGGAGGAACAUCCGUGGCGAAGGCGGCUACCUGAACCAGCACUGACACUGAGGCACGAAAGCGUGGGGAGCAAACA